rnacentral:lncRNA from 1 species
GGAUGAGUCAGUAGCAGAGCCUGCCGUUGGAGGGAAAACAAGACACGGUUAACCCUCGGUGAUUCCAGGUGGCAGCAGAGACUGGAGGAGGAGGAUGUUGGAUCUCCUGGAGAUGGAAUUGUAGACAGUUGCUUGUGAGCCACCUGAUGAGGUGCAAGGAAGCAGAGGAGCAAGAACAGCAAAGAGCGGAGACGUGUGUGAUGCACAGGCUCCCUGACAUGUGUCUCCCAGGAAGAUGUGUGUGACGCACAGGCUCCCUGACAUGUGUCUCCCAGGAAGACGUGUGUGACAAGCAAGCUACCUGACAUGUGUCUCCCAGGAAGACGUGUGUAAUGAGCAGGCUACCUGAGGGACAAGGCAACCUUGAGAGCAACUUUCCUCAAAGUGAAUCUGCUAUAAACUGAUGAUCAAUACAUGAAGAAUGACUAGGCACCAAAAAUAAAGCCACUCUUAACUUCUGGAAAAACAAAAGUUCUGCAGGAAAAGAAACUGAGUAAACGAUGCUCCUGUAGCUAUAAAGAUGUAAACACAAAAUGAUAAGUUCACCACCGUUUGUAGUAUAAACACUCAUGGAAGAGUAUAAAUACAAUAGAGCUAGAAAUUGAGAUGAUAGAGGUUUAUACUGAAGCUUGUCCUUCAGAGUAUGAAAAAUCUGUUUCUCAAAGUAUAAAAUUCAAAACUUCAGGAAGUAUGUGUAAAAUCAUAUUACUUAGUAGAAGUUCCCCAAUACACUGACAACAGGAGCUAGAGAUGUAGCCCAGUGGUGGGACCCUUGCCUGGCAUUCACAAGGCCCUGGGUUCAAAACAGGAUUACUAUAUACUCCAGUAAUCCUAUUCCCGGGUAUUUAUACAAAAGAACUGAAUACAAAAGCUUAAUGAUCUAUGACCUCAUGGUCAUUUCAGGGUUAUCCACAGGAUCUUAUGUGAAAACAACCUCCAAUGUCUAGACAUACAGUGAAAUAUUAUGCAGCCUUGAAAAUGGAAAGUUCCCAUCAUGUCUUAUAUAAUAUAGAUGAAACCUAAGAUACCAUGUGGAGAGAAAUAAACUGGUCAGAAAAAGACAAAUACUGUAUAAUUCCACUUUUCUGAGCGUUGUAAAAAUAGCCAAACUAAAGGAAGCACGAUGUACAAUAGUCAUUUUUAAGAGCAGAACAGAGGAAGAAAUGGAAAAUUGUUCAAUAGAUAUAGUUUUAAUUUUGCGUUCCGAAAACUUUUUAAGAUCUUUUGCCCAACACUAUGAAUCUAGUCAGUGUUCUAAGUUGUGAAGUGGAUGAUAGUUAAAGGGGUGCAUUUUGUUGGUUUUUAACCACAGUUAGAGAGCAAUCAAACUUCACCAUUAAAAUGUGUACAGAUUCUUGUGAAUAAAUCACAUGUGUUAGUUAAGUUUGACAACAGAAACAAAAGACAAAAAGGAAUAAAUAUGAUGUCAUUUAGAGAAAAUGCCAGAAGAAACAGCUGUUCCCAGGUCACCUCUGGAGAAAGGUCCAUGUGAAGCCAGGGUGACUGCUUCAUGCCACAAACCUUUAGAUGUAUAUAAUGUAUCGCCCACAAAAAUUGUUAAAUUAAUAUUUACUCAGGGGCGUGAGAAAACAUCAAAGUUUCAAUGGAAAAUGGAUCAAAGUUACAGUUCAAGAAGGAAGUACAGGAGCUAAUGGAAAACUCUGAUGUGUUCAAACUUCCUCCUCAUCAAAGAAAUUGUACGGUGCUCUUUUUCUAAUAAAAGCAGAAGGCUGCCUCCCAAACCAUCGUCAUCUGGGAUGGUGUGGUCAGCUGAGGCUCUGCCCUGGCUGCAAAUCUCUCGAGGAUAACUUGGGAACUUGUGUUAGCAUCCUCUAGGUUACUCCUGUCUUUCCACUAAUGGCUCCAUUUCAGAUAUUAAAAUGGUAGAUCUUUAUAAUUAUGUGCAAAUGGUACAUUGCUAUCCCCCAAUGUUUUGUUAUUAGUCAUGGGAAAAAAUGCAUGUUGAAAGAAAAUAUGAUGAAUUUCCAUCCGCCAUCCAAACAUUCAACACCUGAUAAGUUAGCUCUGUUUGAAAGUGAGCUGCCAGGAAAGAGACACUUCAGUUUUUGCCUUUUACUUGAAUAUAGCUUUGUUUUAUAAAGACAUGAAAAUAGGAAGGGGGCUUUUCGGAAAUAGCAAGGGGAUAAUUAGGAGAGGACUAGGAAGAAGAGAGGGAAGAGGAUAAAAUCAAAGUACAUUUCAUACGGCUGUGGACAUGGCAUAGUGAAACCCCCUUUUUUGUACAAUUGAUAAGUGUUUAAAGAAGAGAUAAGUUAUCAUGAUGCUUCCUCCGAUGAAUACCUUCCACAGUAGUGCAAGCAGAGGUUGCAAAUGCCAGUGAAGGGCUUGAUAGAGGUCGAGGGAUAAUUAUGCAUCCAUUAAAAUGGUGUCUGUGAUGAAUUUUAGUUACCUUGAGAAAGCUUAUAGACCUUGUAAAUAAAUAAUACAAAAGUCAAAUUACUUCAAUUUAGAAGACCAAUAAUUAACAGGGUUCUGCCUGGGCAUUAGAAUCAUAGACAAUUCUCUUUCCCAGUGCAUAUGUGUAUGAUGUCUGAAUUUACUGGAUCAUACACAUAUAUGCUAUAUAUACUUAAUUUUCAACAAAAUUUCUCAAUGAAAAUUGUACUUAUAUUGCUAUUUAGAGAGGUAAUUUGUCAACACAUAUUACCAGACAUGCUCUUCCCUAGAGAAGGCUGAGCACUGUAUGCCCACAGCUAAUGUGCUGCCUGAGAUCAAACAGCCUGCAGAAGCUUGAGCCCAGCCAUCUUCUCCAGCUCCUGUCGACUGUGUGCCAUAGAGAGAAGUAAGCACCAUUUACCAGAAAACAAGAGAAAGCUUCCAUCGGGGUCAAUCCAAGAUUGCAUUCCUGACUCCUAACUUCUAAUAGCUUCAGAAAUUGUCCUGAAUUUUACCUCAUGGUGAUCUUAACUGGUAAGAAGCACUAGCUGCCUGAAUGUUGUGCAGGGAGGACCAGGGUGCGGUUUUUGAAUCCUCAUCCAUAUUAAGUAGGCUUUUCAGUGAAGCAGCUACCUUCAACUCACUCCUUCCUGUAGGUAACCCCUCACUCAUGCGCCUGUGAAUAGCGCCCCUAAAACACAGUGGUUCACCAGUCUAGACUUGCUGGAGUAAUUUCUUUGGUUUGUUAUUGGUACCCAUCUGAGGUCGAUAGAAACUUGCUAACAGCUCCCAAAUAAAGUCAUGAAACAUUGGGAGUUUGUGACUGUGAGCUUAUUUUGUUUUGUAGGCCUAGUGCAAACUCCCCAUGGCAGGGGCAACACAGUGUUUUCUGCACCCCACACACAACAUUCUGCAUAGAAACUCUUAACGAAUGAGGCCCACGGACCCAGUGCCCUCUCAGCGGUGAGCCCCUACUCUCUGGUCCUCCUCUGAGGCCUGCUGGCUCGAAAAGCCACUCACUCACUCACUAAUGACAGGAUUGCUUCACUCGAGUGGCAGACUGGUCUAGGGUCCAGUGGUUUGGGGACUCUUUCAAAAAUAGAAAACGGACAUCAGACUCAUCCUGUGUGUCAGCGGCCUUCAGGGUAUCUUCACAGAUAAAGAGAUGUAAGUGGGGCAGGAAGGUGGGCCGUGGUUCGGAAGGCAGCAGGCCUACAUGAAGAUCAGUCAUAAUUAGCCCAUUUUGGAACACCAGGGCUGCUGCGCAGUCUGACAGCAUGUCAGGGUGGGGUGAGUGUUUCCUGUGACAAAAUGGAAGAAAUAAUUACCCUGCAGCUUCCCAGGUGACAGUACUAUGGAAACCAAGUGGGCUGCCUUAGCUAGCCUGUGACUAACAGGAACUAAAUGGGAAAGGCAUGGCUUUGCAAAUGAGAAAUAAGAGACAGCACAAUAAUAAAUUAAAAGUAGUGAACAUUUGCACUAAAAUUUUAUCUCCAAGGACUUAAUGGAUUUUUUUUUCCUGAAAGCCACACGACAGAGAUUUAGUCUCCCAACUGCCCAGAAUUAAAUAUCUCAGACUUUGUGUUAGUUAGUUAGUUAGUUAGUUAGUUAGUUAGUUAGUCUGUCAGCCUUGUUUUGAGACAAGGCUUUCCUCUAUAGCCUGGCUGUCCUAUGGUGUAGCCAAGGCUGUGCUGGAACUCAUUGUGCAGCCCAGGCUGGCCUGGAACUCAUGGUGUAGUCCAGACUGCCUGGAAUUUCUGGUAAUUCUCCUUGUCUCUUCAUCCUGGGUUUCAGGAUAACAGGUGUGAACCGGGUGUGAACCAGGUGUGAACAUCGUGCUUGCCUUUAAACUGAAUAUUUUUGAUGUUUGACCAGAGAGCUA